rnacentral:rRNA from 1 species
UGGGGAAUUUUGGACAAUGGGCGAAAGCCUGAUCCAGCAAUGCCGCGUGUGUGAAGAAGGCCUUCGGGUUGUAAAGCACUUUUGUCCGGAAAGAAAUCCUUGGCUCUAAUACAGUCGGGGGAUGACGGUACCGGAAGAAUAAGCACCGGCUAACUACGUGCCAGCAGCCGCGGUAAUACGUAGGGUGCAGGCGUUAAUCGGAAUUACUGGGCGUAAAGCGUGCGCAGGCGGUUUGCUAAGACCGAUGUGAAAUCCCCGGGCUCAACCUGGGAACUGCAUUGGUGACUGGCAGGCUAGAGUAUGGCAGAGGGGGGUAGAAUUCCACGUGUAGCAGUGAAAUGCGUAGAGAUGUGGAGGAAUACCGAUGGCGAAGGCAGCCCCCUGGGCCAAAUACUGACGCUCAUGCACGAAAGCGUGGGGAGCAAAACAGGAUUAGAUACCCUGGUAGUCCAGCGCCCUAAAACGAUGUCAACUAGUUGUUGGGGAUUCAUUUCCUUAGUAACGUAGCUAACGCGUGAAGUUGACCGCCUGGGGAGUACGGUCGCAAGAUUAAAACUUAAAUGAAUUGACGGGGUCAUAGCUGUUUCCU